rnacentral:rRNA from 1 species
UACGAAGGGUGCAAACGUUGCUCAGAAUUAUUGGGCGUAAAGCGCACGUAGGCGGCUUUUCAAGUCGGAUGUGAAAUCCCUCGGCUUAACCAAGGAAGUGCAUCCGAAACUGGAGAGCUUGAGUACUUAAGAGGAUCGCGGAAUUCCCGGUGUAGAGGUGAAAUUCGUAGAUAUCGGGAGGAACACCAGUGGCGAAGGCGGCGAUCUGGGAAGAUACUGACGCUGAGGUGCGAAAGCGUGGGGAGCAAACAGG